rnacentral:rRNA from 1 species
UACGUAGGUCGCAAGCGUUGUCCGGAUUUACUGGGCGUAAAGAGCGCGCAGGCGGCUGGUCAAGUCCGAUGUGAAAUCUCCCGGCUCAACUGGGAAACUGCAUCGGAAACUGAUCGGCUUGAAGAUGGGAGAGGGUAGUGGAAUUCCCGGUGUAGUGGUGAAAUGCGUAGAGAUCGGGAGGAACACCCGUGGCGAAGGCGGCUCACUGGGCUGACCUUGACGCUGAGGCGCGAAGGCGUGGGGAGCGAACGGG